CAGCACGAAAAUUAAUUUUAAUUGUCGUGCUGGAUAGUUUUUAGAUAUCUGGCGACAAUUCUCGACAGUUCUUAUUAUAUAUGAUUGUUUUCUCUUUACAGAAACAGAUUUCAAAUUCCUAGAUGAUUUGGAAGAUCUCUGAAGAGAAUUUUUAUACAUUGGAGGAAGAGGAUAUAUUGUGUUCAAUCAUAUUAAUAUAAAUUAUAUUAAUCAAACAUGUAAUUAUAAAUAAAAAAUGUUUAAUUUUACAAAAUAAAUAAAAUUAAAAUUUUCUAACCUAAUCAUAACCUAUAAACAUAAUUCGACCUGAAUUUUAGGUUAUUAACUAUAUAAGUAACCGCACUGUGCCAACACGCUGCUAUCACAGGGACAGCAUUUCGUGACAACACCGUGUGUGCACUCCGUGAUUGCACGGCGUGCAAUCCACCGUGACAUCACAAGAGUGCGGUACCCGGACUUCACGUGCCGUCACGCCAUGCUGCAACACGUGCAAUCACAGCGCCAUCACAGUGCGGUCAUCUGGCUAUCGGGGUUGUGUUUUCUGAACGUAGCCAUUAUUAGCAUGGGACAGUAAAAGAAGUGAGUGAAAUGAAAAUAACAGCAUGCUGAAGACUCAAGAAUCAAGAUCGAGCUUCUUUCACUUUCAGAACGCAACGGACGCAGGAUGGACCGGGACCGGAGCAAAUAUGGCAUCGCGAAUCUCUUAAUUGGUGAUAUAUAUCAAUCAUACGUAAUUGUAAUUCGUUUGAACGCGUAUCUGUCAAUAUACUUGUUCGAGCGAAGAUCGCGAUUCGUAGCGACAUGUCAAUCGUGAUACGCAAAGAUCGAGGCAGUUCUGACAUGGACCGGUGCCGGGAAGCAAAUGUCGCGCCAUAUCUAUCUACUUGAAUGCGACGAACGCAGAAUGAAUCGAUUCCGGGACGAAUGGCAUUGCAAAUUACUUAAUUGAUCGUGACAAUCGACAUGGAUCGGUUCCGGGGCGGAUGACAUCGCGAUAUUUAUUUGAAACCAAACAAUUUUGUUGGUGGUCCUGGCAGGGUCAUGAAAAGAAGUGCUGAAGGCAGAAAAGGUAGAGGUAGCAGAAGAGAAUCUUUCAGUAGAGGAAGAGGCGGCAAUAAUGGAGGUUUCAAAAGUCGGAGGUGGUAGAUUUAAUCGUUCAGGUGGAGGUCGAGGAGGAGACAGAGGAAGAUGGUAGAUUUAAAAAUAUGUGUAUACUAGAAUAAAUCCUUAAAAUAUGAAUUAUAAUGAUCAAUCUUGUAAAUGACAAAGGGAUUAAAUUUUAUACAAGUUAA